rnacentral:rRNA from 1 species
UACGUAGGGCGCAAGCGUUAUCCGGAAUUAUUGGGCGUAAAGAGCUCGUAGGCGGUUUGUCGCGUCUGCUGUGAAAGACCGGGGCUCAACUCCGGUUCUGCAGUGGGUACGGGCAGACUAGAGUGCAGUAGGGGAGACUGGAAUUCCUGGUGUAGCGGUGAAAUGCGCAGAUAUCAGGAGGAACACCGAUGGCGAAGGCAGGUCUCUGGGCUGUAACUGACGCUGAGGAGCGAAAGCAUGGGGAGCGAACAGGAUUAGAUACCCGUGUAGU